rnacentral:tRNA from 2 species
CGCUAAGAAGCUAAACCGGGCCCACAGCGUUAGCCUUUUAAGCUAAAGAAUGGUGCUUCCCAACCACCCUUAGCGG